ACGUACACUCCUACGGGAGGCAGCAGUGGGGAAUUUUGGACAAUGGGCGAAAGCCUGAUCCAGCCAUGCCGCGUGCAGGAUGAAGGCCUUCGGGUUGUAAACUGCUUUUGUACGGAACGAAACGGCCUUUUCUAAUAAAGAGGGCUAAUGACGGUACCGUAAGAAUAAGCACCGGCUAACUACGUGCCAGCAGCCGCGGUAAUACGUAGGGUGCAAGCGUUAAUCGGAAUUACUGGGCGUAAAGCGUGCGCAGGCGGUUAUGUAAGACAGUCGUGAAAUCCCCGGGCUCAACCUGGGAACUGCAUCUGUGACUGCAUAGCUAGAGUACGGUAGAGGGGGAUGGAAUUCCGCGUGUAGCAGUGAAAUGCGUAGAUAUGCGGAGGAACACCGAUGGCGAAGGUAAUCCCCUGGACCUGUACUGACGCUCAUGCACGAAAGCGUGGGGAGCAAACAGGAUUAGAAACCCGAGUAGUCCCAUG
rnacentral:rRNA from 1 species